UGGGGAAUAUUGCACAAUGGGCGAAAGCCUGAUGCAGCGACGCCGCGUGAGGGAUGACGGCCUUCGGGUUGUAAACCUCUUUCAGCAGGGAAGAAGCGAAAGUGACGGUACCUGCAGAAGAAGCGCCGGCUAACUACGUGCCAGCAGCCGCGGUAAUACGUAGGGCGCAAGCGUUGUCCGGAAUUAUUGGGCGUAAAGAGCUCGUAGGCGGUUAGUCGCGUCUGCUGUGAAAACUCGAGGCUCAACCUCGGGCUUGCAGUGGGUACGGGCUGACUAGAGUGCGGUAGGGGUGACUGGAAUUCCUGGUGUAGCGGUGGAAUGCGCAGAUAUCAGGAGGAACACCGAUGGCGAAGGCAGGUCACUGGGCCGCAACUGACGCUGAGGAGCGAAAGCAUGGGGAGCGAACAGGAUUAGAUACCCUGGUAGUCCAUGCCGUAAACGUUGGGCACUAGGUGUGGGGUCCAUUCCACGGAUUCCGUGCCGCAACAAAGCGCAUUAAGUGCCCCGCCUGGGGGAGUACGGCCGCAAGGCUAAAACUUAAAUGAAUUGACGGGGUCAUAGCUGUUUCCU
rnacentral:rRNA from 1 species